GAGUUUGAUCCUGGCUCAGGAUGAACGCUGGCGGCGUGCUUAUCACAUGCAAGUCGAAUGUAGCAAUACAUGGCGGACGGGUGAGUAACGCGUGAGCAAUCUGCCCUUAUCUGGGGGAUAACAGUUGGAAACGACUGAUAAUACCGCAUAACAUCGAGAGAAGGCAUCUUCUUUCGAUCAAAGAUUUAUCGGAUAAGGAUGAGCUCGCGUCUGAUUAGCUUGUUGGUGAGGUAACGGCUCACCAAGGCGACGAUCAGUAGCCGACCUGAGAGGGUGAUCGGCCACAUUGGAACUGAGACACGGUCCAAACUCCUACGGGAGGCAGCAGUGGGGAAUAUUGGGCAAUGGAGGCAACUCUGACCCAGCAACGCCGCGUGAAUGAUGAAGGUCUUCGGAUUGUAAAGUC
rnacentral:rRNA from 1 species